rnacentral:rRNA from 1 species
AAACCGUUCCCGAAGAUCUAUUGGAGGGCAAGUCUGGUGCCAGCAGCCGCGGUAAUUCCAGCUCCAAUAGCGUAUAUUAAAGUUGUUGUGGUUAAAAAGCUCGUAGUUGGAUUUCGGCGGGUAUUGGUCGGUUUGAAUUGCUUCAACACUGACUUUUUUACCCGUGUGUUUUGUCAGAAUUUAACGGGUGAUCUUCGCCGAUUGUCCGUUAGAACUGACAGGUUUACUUUGAAAAAAUUAGAGUGCUCAAAGCAAGCUUGAUUGCUUGAAUAUUCGUGCAUGGAAUAAUAGAAUAGGAAGUCGUUUCUAUUUUGUUGGUUUUCGGAAAUCGACUUAAUGAUUAAUAGGGAUAGUCGGGGGCAUUUGUAUUCAAACGACAGAGGUGAAAUUCUUGGACCGUUUGAAGACAAACUACUGCGAAAGCAUUUGCCAAGAAUGUUUUCAUUAAUCAAGAACGAAAGUUAGAGGUUCGAAGGCGAUUAGAUACCGCCCUAGUUCUAACCAUAAACGAUGCCAGCUAGCGAUCUGCCGGUGUUUGAUUUUCUGACUCGGCAGGCAGCUUCCGGGAAACCAAAGCUUGUGGGUUCCAGGGGAAGUAUGGUUGCAAAGCUGAAACUUAAAGGAAUUGACGGAAGGGCACCACCAGGAGUGGAGCCUGUGGCUUAAUUUGACCCAACACGGGAAAUCUCACCAGGCCCGGACACCAGAAGGAUUGACAGAUUGAUAGCUCUUUCUUGAUUUGGUGGGUGGUGGUGCAUGGCCGUUCUUAGUUGGUGGAGUGAUUUGUCUGGUUAAUUCCGACAACGAACGAGACUCUGUCCUGUUAAAUAGAUCCAACCUAGUCGUAGGGUUGGAAUUUCUUCUUAGAGGGACUGGUGAUUAUUAGUCACACGAGAUUGAGCAAUAACAGGUCUGUGAUGCCCUUAGAUGUUCUGGGCCGCACACGCGCUACACUGAAGUGAUCAGCUAGUUUUUCCCUCUCCGAGAGGAGCGGGUAAACUGUUGAACCCACUUCGUGGUAGGGAUCGGAGCUUGCAAUUAUUCUCCGUGAACCAGGAAUUCCCAGUAGGUGCAAGUCAUAAGCUUGCAUCGAUUACGUCCCUGCCCUUUGUACACACCGCCCGUCGCUACUACCGAUGAGUGUUUUAGUGAGGACCUCGGAUUGCUUGCUGGGCGGUUCGCGCUGCCUAGCUGGCGAAAAGACGUCCAAACUGUAGCACUUAGAGGAAGUAAAGUCGUAACAAGGUU